rnacentral:rRNA from 1 species
UACAGAGGUCCCAAGCGUUGUUCGGAUUCACUGGGCGUAAAGGGUGCGCAGGCGGCCGUGUGUGUCAGGUGUGAAAGCCCGGAGCUUAACUCCGGAAUUGCGCCUGAAACUACAUGGCUAGAGCAUUGGAGAGGGUAGCGGAAUUCACGGUGUAGCAGUGAAAUGCGUAGAUAUCGUGAGGAACACCAGAGGCGAAGGCGGCUACCUGGACAAUUGCUGACGCUCAGGCACGAAAGCGUGGGGAGCAAAAGGG